GCCCUUAGAGUUUGAUCCUGGCUCAGGACGAACGCUGGCGGCGUGCUUAACACAUGCAAGUCGAGCGAAGCUGCCCUGGUAACUUUGUUACCGGGGUUGACUGAGCGGCGAACGGGUGAGUAACACGUGGAUAACCUGCCCGGAAGUCCGGGAUAACAGCUCGAAAGGGCUGCUAAUACCGGAUAAUGUGAGGAGGUAACAGCCUUCUUACCAAAGCGUCUAGCGCUUCCGGAUGGGUUCGCGGCUCAUUAGCUAGUUGGUAGGGUAAAGGCCUACCAAGGCGACGAUGGGUAGCUGGUCUGAGAGGACGAUCAGCCACACUGGGACUGAGACACGGCCCAGACUCCUACGGGAGGCAGCAGUGGGGAAUCUUGCGCAAUGGGGGAAACCCUGACGCAGCGACGCCGUGUGGGCGAAGAAGGCCUUCGGGUUGUAAAGCCCUGUCUGGGGGGAUUAUGGUGACUGUACCC
rnacentral:rRNA from 1 species